GGCAGCGCAAGGAAGGUGGGCUGGAUGCCGCCUUAGGUGGUGACGACACCUCGCCCCCA
rfam:Mosquito flavivirus gene for polyprotein, complete cds, strain: YDFV/Oct/2013